rnacentral:lncRNA from 1 species
GUGGCACCCAUGGCAUAUGGAGGUUCCCGGGCAAGGGGUUGAAUCAGAGCUGUAGCUGCAGGCCUUUGCCACAAUACAGCAACACAGGGUCGGAGCUGUGUCUGUGACCUACACCACAGCUCACAGCAACGCCAGAUCCUUAACUCACUGAGUGAGGCCAGGGAUUGAACCAGCAUCCUCAUGGAUACUAGUCAGGUUCAUUAACUACUUAGCCAUGACAGGAACUCCAUGAAUUUUACUCUUGGGGAAAGAAGUAGAAUAAAUUAUUCACGUACAGAUAUGCUCAGUGAUAAGGCUCCCAAAGUUAGAAACCCCAGAAGCAACUACAUUUUAAUAGGCAAUGUUCAUCAACCUAGUACAAUUCUCCUUUACCUACAAACCCUGAAAAUAAUAUACCAGUUUUGAGACGUUAGGAGCUCUUUUCUAAUAUCUAGCCAUGUUUUAAAUGAAAAAGAAUGAGCAGUAUUCCACUGUGUAUAUAUACCACAUCUUCCUGAUCCAAUCAUCUGUCGACAGACAUUUGGGUUGUUUCCAACUCUUGGCUAUUGUUGAAUAGAGCUGCAAUGAAUAUGCGGGUACAUGUGUCUUUUUUAAGGAGCGUUUUGUCUGGAUAUAUACCCAAGAGUGGAAUUGCUGGGUCAUAUGGUAGUUCUAGGUAUAGUUUUCUAAGGUACCUCCAUACUGGUUGUACCAGCUUACAUUCCCACCAGCAGUGCAGAAGGGUUCUUGUAUUGGGGAAAUAACAAUUAAAAAAUAAAAAAUAAAAUUUAUCAAUAUAAUAAAUAAGUAAAAAAGAAUGACAAUUUCAUAUGGUUUACCUCAAUAGAUGAGAGGUUAUAAGCAUAAAUAUUCUGAUUGGCUAGUUAGGUCAGCAUAAAUGUGUCAUGUAUGUAGUUGUGAGAAACUAGGGAGUAUUGGGGUCUAUAGGAACUUGAGAACACAUGCCUUAUUUGAAGAGAUUCAUUCUAAAAACAAACAAAUAAACAAAGACCACUAUGCCAGUCAAACUAAACGAUUAUGAGGUGAGGGCUGGUAGACCAUCAGUUUAUGAAGGCCAAACUAGAUGAUUACUGAGACUCUCCAGCUCCAGCUUUCUGUGCAUGCAUGAAGUCCAACUGCCUAGGGAAGAGAGUUCCGAAAAAUAUUAACUUUGUUCUUUCCCCCACCUUGGAGACAUCACUGAGGAGCUAUGUUAAAAAGUAAUAGCUUCAACAAACAACAUUCUGCUGUUGCCCGUGAAAAGAAAAACCUUCAGAUAAGAGCUAUAGUGAUAAGGAAACUAGAAAGCAAGAAAAUGACAAGUCAGAAUGAGUGAAAAAGAAGAGCGUUAAUAAACUGUCAAAUUCUUCCCAUGACAAAGGCUGUGGAAUUCUGCUUUACCUUCUCCACUUCAGAAAAUGACCCACUUCCCAUUACCGGUCAUGAAAGCUAAAUGGGGCAACUCUAAAAUGUACUAUCAUUUAGAAACAACAAGGUAGUCUGAAUUUUUAAAACAGGAAGGAAAGAAGCCAAAGGUUUCUUCCACUCAUUAAAAAGUGACAUUAUGGAUCUCAUAUACCCUCCAAGAAGAGAUCCACUUCCCCAUUCUUAGUGUUUGCUGGACAAUGAACAGAAAAUCCAAGCCAUGCAUGAAUGCAAAUGCCACCAUGUGAGUUUGCUUAGGUUAAAUGCAAACUCAUAAUGGGUUAUAGGUUUGCAAAAUCAAUUUUUCCCACUUGAGUCAAUUGUGGAAGUUUUAAUAUUGACCACGUUUACUCAACUGUCUGCCAGGUAUGUCUUAUGGCUACUUCAUGGCUUAUUUAUAAAUGAUAUGUAUAUAGCACCCUGUCUUUUUUUUUAAAGUGGUUAAAAAAAUCUGCUUUUCUUUUCCUUUAAUGAGAGAAUGUCACCAGAUCAAAAUGUCUAUAAAUAUAGUAUGUAGAUCUUUAUGAGAACAUUUACUGACUGCAGAGAAAGGAACUAUCAUAAGCAAAACAGAGGAGUCUUAAAGGUAUAUUUCUUACAAUAAAAAGGUAAUAUACAUCAAAGUUCUACAAAAGAAAAGAGUAACACAUUUUUUCUUCUUUUAUCUCCUUUUUGCCUAAGACUUUGCACAUGACCAGAUCUAGGAUCUGACUCCAUUUCAAUACUUUUAUAAAUCUGAUAAUUUUACUUCUUAGAAGUUUGAGCAUUCAAGUUAUAUAAUGCUGAUAAAGUCUGAUAAAUUUUGCCUAUGUUUUUGCUAAGGGAGAUAGACAAAGAAGGCACUAUUAAGAUGCAUGAUAACAUUUUAAAAGACUAAAGGUUUCUGAUUACCUGGUUACACCUUUAAAUAUUAUAGGCCAUCAGAGUCCCAAACAAAAUAUAUUAGUUUGGUUCACCCUACUUUUAAGCAAAGGUGAGUAUAAAAUAUGGAUGUCUAGAAUCUGUACACAUUCUACAGAAGUCGCUGCAAUCUGGUUUAAAGCUUUCUGGGAAGAUUUAUAAUGAAAUUUAUGAUAGUGAUUCAUUGCUGUCUUGCAGUGUCAAGCCUCAUGUCUUAUAAAGAAAAGCAUAUAUCUACUCCUAAAGAAAUAAUAGUACUUUACAAAAUAGCUCUUUUUAUAAGCAAUAUGGUGAUAGAUCCAAUCAGAUGUGUGAUUAUCAAUAUGAAAUAUCUUUGACAUAACUAACUUAAAAUCAUUGCAGAACUUUAAUGGUUUCUAUUUAAUAUAAACCCCUGUUCCUCCCUUGGAGCGUCUCAGACGAUCACAAACAUGGAACAGCUUUACCAUGGGUUACUAGCUAAUUAUCCCACAUUUAACAUAUAUCUAAAAAUGAAAGAGACCAUGUCAAAAGUGUCACAGAUUUGGAAAAUCUCAGGAUAGGAAAAUGACUAAGCUAGGAUGAAAACUCCAAUGCUUACAGAGAACAGAGAAGUGAGAAUAUGGUGAGAUCUGAACAGUGUUGCUCCUUAACAACAGGAGACCCCAUGCCCCAUCUCAAGGGACAAUUGCCUCUUUCUUCUGCCAGGCCUAUCACUUAUAAAGGUGCCUACACCAGUGCCAGGUCAUGUACAUUUUUCAAGAAAAUCCAGAAAUCUCAAUCUUGUGAAUUCUCCCAACUUACAAGUGUUGGCAACUAGUUGAAAAAUUAAAAAAUCUAAAAGAAACAGACAGAACCUAUUUGGAGUGCAUGGCCUAUCUCUGGGUCACAGGUUAAGGAGUUAGGCAUAAGCGACUUAGUCCAAGCUUUCUGAUUUGCAUCUCUUAUUACUACAUUCUUGACAAGCUGCUCUUGCCUGGGUUCAAACACUUCCAACUCUGACCAGUUCAACACUCCUCAAGUCAGAGUCCAGAUUUCGCACAGCUCUCCCUUAUUUUGAGUCAAAAUCUGUCAUCACUAUUUCUUGAGUCACCUCUCAGCAUCAUAGAAAUCUUCUUCAACAUGAAAAACUUUCAAAUACUGGAAGACAUAAGCACACCCUAUACAUUUGGAUGAAUGAUUCAUUUAAACAUUUCCAAAAACAUGAUUCUCACAACUCAGGGAUAUCAUUUCAGACAGAAGCUCAAUUUUCCUUCAUAUGAAUAAAUAAUAAAAAAUUAAAAACAGAAGUAGCAUCAGAUCAGGUGUUGGAAAAUAUGAAGCAUAUUGUCAAGGGAGAUCUUGCCAGUGGCUCGGAAAAAUGGAGGGGAAGAGAAGGACGUCAUCGGAGGCUGAUGCAUGACUCCACGCCUUCCAGAUCCUGUAUCAUGAUGAGCUCAUUCCUGUACUCAGGUCAGUGCAUCGAUGCUUGUGGACAAUGGCCCUGUCCAUUUCCUCACAUUUAUAAUUCUGAAAUGCUACAUCCCACUUCUUUAUCCUCAAUCAAUUCCUCUCAAAGGCACGUCCAAUUCAGAAUUCCACUUCUGGGUUUCAAUCCUCCAUGGACCCACAGCAGUCUGCUCCACAUCCUUUCUCUCUCACCAGUCUCAUCAAACCACUUUCCCCUCCUGCUUUUUCCACAGAAACUUAUUCCCUUCCUUUCUUACCUUUUGAGGAGUUUUCCAAUAAGUCUCUGUUUAUUACUAUGUCUCAGCUGCCCAUCCCCCAAAUAUUGCUCCACACAAAAGAUUUCCAGUGAUAAUUACUGGUGAUGUUUUAGAAAAUAGUGGUAUAAUACUAUUCAUUUGCCACCUGUAUUUAGCUGCUGAAAAAUCCACACUGGAAAUGAAUAGCAUUAUGCUUUUUUCUCCCCCCUCAGACAUGUGAAAAUGUGAUUUUGUGACAGUUUUGUUAGGGGUGAGAAUUUUGCCUUCUCCCUUCUUGCGAUGGUCUCCAGUGUCAACAUUGCCUAAGAAGUGAGUAAAGGCCCUUGAGUUACAAGAGCCAUAUCACUUCUUUUUUAAUCAAGGAAAGAAGGAUAAGAUGAAAUCUCCCUCAAGUGCUAAAAAGACAGCAGUUUAUUUAAAGAAAGUAUUUACACUCUUUGCUAAUUACUUAGGUGUGCUCACACUGAUACAAGUGCAGAACUGUAUACCCUUCAACCGUCUUCAGGAUAUCAUUAAAUUAAAUUCAUAAAGAAAUGUGGGUUUAAAUCAGAAACAUGCUUCAGCAAUCGAGACUAUAAUGUCUUUCAACUUUCUCACAUUUUUUAGCAGAAGAAAAGACAACUAAUAGAGUUUUCCUUAGAGGCAAAGAACAUUUAUCCAAAUGGGCAUAUUAUUCUCAGAAUAAAUAUAGUACGACUGCCCGCCUUUGACUGAAGUUUUGUAGCAGAAAAAGUAUCCCAUUAUCCCACCUGAUUUACCUAGUAAAAAGAAAAUCUGAAUAACAGAAAAAUAUAGAGUGACCAGCAUAGAGAAAGAAAUUUAUCCUUCCCAGAUUUAGUGUUGGAAUAUAUCCUUGCCCAGAUCCUUUUUUUUUUAAUUUUCUACACCCCUAGGAAUUUCCUCCUUCUUUCUUUCAAGGAAUAUUUACUGAGUGCCUUCUAUGUAUAAAGAACUAUAGUGGUCACAGGAGUGAAAACAGAGAACAGAGGCAGGACCUCUCUCUUCAUGGGAUAUGAAAUGACUAUCUUCCCAAUUCACUAUUUAGUUAUACUUUUUGAUGAGUGUUGGGUAAAGAAGGAUGGGAGAGCAUAAUAAGGGCAUGAAGCAGAAGGACUUGGAAGGUUGGCAAAACUCCCUUUAGGAAAUGAAAAAGCAUAAAUUAAUUCUUAAGUAUGUGGAGCAGGAUGGAGUUUUCCAGAGUAAAGGAACAGAACAUGGGAAAGCUCUCCAUCAGAAGAAGCAUGAGCACUAAAGGGUCUAGGCUUGAUAGUGAGCAGGAGAGAGGUUAAAGCUCUGUCAUUCAGUAUUUGAGACUGUGUUAAGGAUGUUGGUUUACAGUUUUAGGGCAAUGGGAGUUAAUUAGAAAAACAAAUGGAAAAUUGAGUAGAAGAAGUAUGUGAGGAUAUCAAUGAAGAG